rnacentral:rRNA from 1 species
CCUACGGGUGGCAGCAGUGGGGAAUAUUGCACAAUGGGGGAAACCCUGAAGCAGCAACGCCGCGUGGAGGAUGAAGGAAUUAGGAUUGUAAACUUCUAUUAUCAGAGAAGAAAAUGACGGUAUCUAAGUAAGAAGCACCGGCUAACUACGUGCCAGCAGCCGCGGUAAUACGGAGGGUGCAAGCGUUACCCGGAUUUACUGGGCGUAAAGGGAGCGUAGACGGGAGUGCAAGUCUGGUGUGAAAGGCUGGGGCUCAACUCCAGAACUGCUAUGGAAACUGUAAGGCUGGAGUGCGGGAGAGGUAAGUGGAAUUCGUGGUGUAGCGGUGAAAUGCGUAGAGAUUAGGAGGAACACUCGUGGCGAAGGCGACUUACUGGACCGUAACUGACGCUGAUGCACGAAAGCGUGGGGAGCAAACAGGAUUAGAUACCCUUGUAGUC